ACGGAAGGCAGCAGUGGGGAAUAUUGGGCAAUGGGCGAAAGCCUGACCCAGCAACGCCGCGUGAAGGAAGAAGGCCUUCGGGUUGUAAACUUCUUUUAUCAGGGACGAAGAACGUGACGGUACCUGAUGAAUAAGCCACGGCUAACUACGUGCCAGCAGCCGCGGUAAUACGUAGGUGGCAAGCGUUAUCCGGAUUUACUGGGUGUAAAGGGCGCGUAGGCGGGGAUGCAAGUCAGGUGUGAAAUCUAUGAGCUUAACCCAUAAACUGCAUUUGAAACUGUAUCUCUUGAGUGUCGGAGAGGUAGAUGGAAUUCCUAGUGUAGCGGUGAAAUGCGUAGAUAUUAGGAGGAACACCAGUGGCGAAGGCGAUCUACUGGACGAUAACUGACGCUGAGGCGCGAAAGCGUGGGGAGCAAACAGGAUUAGAUACCCUGGUA
rnacentral:rRNA from 1 species